CUCAAUUUUUUAGGGAAUUGCAUUUCGAUCCCCAAUUUAUGGUUUUUUUUUUAACAGCCAGAGAGCUUUUCAUUUCUUAUGAACGUCCGAUCGCCGUAAAACCGAAGCUGCGUGCUCAACGCCGUCACAGGUUUGAUUGGUUUCGCUGAUUCUCGCCGAUCAUGAACCUUGCGCCUCCGCCGUCGGCCAUGCCGCCGAACUGGUACCCGAUGUUGCCGCCCCAUCCGCCACCGUCGAGCGCGUUCUGGAACGGCGCAAACGUCCAGGAUCGAGUUGGAGAGUUGCAGGAGACGCUCGCGCAAGCGAAAGCAAUGCGGAGGGAGCUUCAGUUGUUGAGGACGAUUAAAGAAUCCGAAGCGUGCGGUGAAGAUGUCAAAGAUGGGACUCGGACUGGUCCUGUGCGUGUGUUCUUGAAGCAUGUCGAGGAUGGGGGCGUUGGUUUGGAUUUGCAAGAAAUGCGCUCGCUGGAAGCUGCGAACUCUCUGAUUUCGAAGUUGAGAGCCCAGCUCGUGCCGUUCAAAGUCGUCACGGAUGAGGCGAGCCCUUGGGAGGAGAAAUCCGCGGUGUUUAGAUUGUCGGGCAAGCUGUCCAAGUCGAGGCGAAAUAAGCUCUGGAGGAAGAGGAAGAGACGGCGCGUGGCGGAGCAGCAAAUGAAGGAGCGCGAAUGGUUCGACCAAGCUGAUCAGGAUGCUGAUGAAUGGAGAGCAAGGGAGAUUGCCAAGGAUAUUGCAAGACGCAAGAUAGAAAAGAUGAAGGAAAUUGCAAAGCUUAAAGCAAAAGAGGAAAGGAGGAGGUUAGAAUCCGAGCUAGAGCUUGUCUUGAUUGUGGAGAAAUUGCAGGAGCUACGGUCAAUGAGGGUUAGAAAACUAAAGAAGCAGGGACAUUUUCUCCCAGAGGAGGAUAAUGAGUUUCUUGAGAGAGUGAGAGUUGCUGUUGAGGAAGAGGAGAGCCAGGCUCGGAUUGCUGCUGAUGCAGAUGCUGCAAGAGAUGCCAUUGCGACUGCUGAAGAAUCUCGCAAAACAGCUGAUACUGCUGAGCCUGACCCGAAAGAUCAAAAUGAUGUCACACAUCAAAAGCUUGAAAACAAAGAUGAUAUUACUGAUGGGGAAGGCAACAUUAGCUCUUUAACGGGUGGUCAUAUGGGAUUCAAGAAAGAAGCAACAGAAGGGAAAGCUCAUAUUGGAUCUUAUGAUGCCUUGGCAAAUCUUCCAAUGGAGUUCUAUCAUUACUAUCAUGGCAGUAACACUGAUAUGGGGACCCUUAUAGAGGUUAGAUUGCCUGUGGUUUUGGUUUAUUCCUUACUCCUAAAUAAUCAUGCAGGUCAGAAGAACAUGGGAUGCAUAUCUAAGGAGGGGAGGAAGCUGCAUACCUGGGCACUGGGUUCAACCACCACCUCCUGCAGAUGAAGUGUGGGCUUCCUACUUGGUGAAGUCAAAGUGAGGGACUUUGGCUUGUAGCUCAAUCAGUUGGCAUUUUUUUCUCUCUCAGACAAGAGAAUCUGAUACUGGAGCAUAUGGCUGACAAAUUUGCUGCUAGCAUAUAUCACGCUGCCUGAAGUAUUGGUAUCUAAAUUUGUUCUCCAGUGGGGAAGAAGGUCUUAUGGUAAGGUUUGCCUGCGGGAAAUUGCAGCUGCUGCUUGGACAUGUCCAACAACACCUUUUUCAGCAUAGUGAUGGUCUGUAUCAAAACAGACAAUGCGCAAGCUGAAUGUUGAAUCCCAAACAAGUUGCUCCAUUAAGCUAUCAAGCUUCAGACAAACAAUUCUGGGUCGAUUUUGCAACUCGUCUACUGUCCAUGCUCCAUCUCUUAGAAGAUUCUUGCGGCAGC